CAGGGUAAGCGGACGGCUGCUCCCGUCACUUGUGAGUGACAGGAGAGGAAAGUCCGGACUUCCCCCGCCCCAGUUUUUGUGAAUAAUUAAAUAAGUCAUAGUUUUAAAUUUAUACUAUUUAAAAAGCAGGGUAUUUAUUCAUAAAAACUGGAGCGGGGAACAGGGCAGUGGGUAAUCCCCACCGCCCGCCGAUUCGGCGGGGAGGGAAAGUGCCACAGAGACUAUACUAACCCGCCGAUUCGGCGGGCUAAACGUGAAAAGUAGCUUGAUGUCUUUUGUUCUCGAGAUAAAAGGCUACAAGCUUCACCUCCGAGUGAUCGGGGUGUUGCGGUAAACCCUGCCUGAAGCAAGAGCAAACCCAGCCACAGUUUUGAUAAAGUGUUAAUUAUAAUAAUUUUUUACUUUUUACAACAGUAAUCAUUGGUAUUAGAUUUAACGUUUGUUCAAAACUGGAGCUGGGGAAAAGUGGCUCGCAUGAUCCCGGCAGCAAUGUCGGGACCAGAUAGAUAGCCGUCCUCCGGUUUAACCGGGGACAGAAUCCGGCUUAUAGCUUGCCUUGAUAU
rnacentral:RNase_P_RNA from 1 species